AUGGGAGAUCCAAGUAAAGAAAAAACAGGGGAUUCUAGUGUUGAUAAGAUGUAUGAAAUAUUUAGCAAACUGCUUGAGCACCAGCACCAAUCAAAGGCUGCUGCUGAGCCAGUUAAGCAUACACUUGAGCCAAAUCCAGUCAGACUAUCAGGACCUGGUGACUACAUCAGUUGGGCACGCCAUGCCAAAUUGAUUCUGAGCGCCAAUGACUAUGAUUAUUUACUUGUUGGCAAUGAAGAAAGUUUGGAGAAAGGCGGUGCAGGCAGGAAACAAAUCAAUGAUAAAGUACUAGUAUGGCUGUUGGGAAGUAUGGAACCAAAAAUUAGAGAACAAGUGGAAGGCAUGGACACUGUUUGUGAGGUCUGGUCAUCUUUGAAGAAACAAUUUGCAGGGAAAACAAAUAAAAUGCAAGCCACCCGUAUCAUGCAUGAGUUAACUAAUUUGAAGCAGCGCUCAAGAUCUGUAACAGAGUAUGAAGGUGAAGUAAAGAAAUUAUACAGAGACUUACAUUAUCAUCACCCUUUUGAACCUGUUCACAAGGAUGACUUGGCAAUUCAUCAUGUGUGGUUUGAGUCGUUUGUGAGCAAGCUCUUUCUUGAUGGCCUAGACCAGGAACUAAACCUCCGUCGUCAAUUGAUAUUUGCAAUGCCUGAGUGGCCUAGUCUUGAUGAUAUUAUUUCUAGCAUGAUUGAGGAGGAGACUCGUUUGACACAACCGAAGGAGGAUGGUCAGGAGCGUGCAGAUGCUCGUGCUGCAUUAUCCGUACAACCUCGCCGUGCUACAAAUUCCUUUGGUAAGGUGGAUAAAAGCAAAUUGCUUUGUGACCAUUGCAAGAGAAAAGGACACACCAAGGGUGAGUGUUUUGAGUUGCAUGGUUAUCCAUCUUGGUGGGAUAAAGGGAGAUCUCAGCUAGGGGGAGCUCGGGGUUCAAACAAAAGACAAGCUAAUUACAAUGCAUCUGCAAGGGAACUACCUGUGGUAGAUAUGCAAGCUCUUGAGGAUUUCAAAUCCAAGCUCAAACUCUCCGAAGGCUCAUCUUCGUCCCAAGGUUCCUCCAAAGUUGAUUCUAGCUUUAAUACCAUCACCCAAGGAGCUUGGGACAGGGAGAGUUCUCGGGACUGGGACCAUGCAUGA
rnacentral:rRNA from 1 species